rnacentral:rRNA from 1 species
AUUGAACGCUGGCGGCAUGCUUUACACAUGCAAGUCGAACGGCAGCGCGGGCUUCGGCCUGGCGGCGAGUGGCGAACGGGUGAGUAAUACAUCGGAACGUGCCCAGUAGUGGGGGAUAGCUCGGCGAAAGCCGGAUUAAUACCGCAUACGACCUGAGGGUGAAAGCGGGGGAUCUUCGGACCUCGCACUAUUGGAGCGGCCGAUGGCAGAUUAGCUAGUUGGUGGGGUAAAGGCCUACCAAGGCGACGAUCUGUAGCUGGUCUGAGAGGACGACCAGCCACACUGGGACUGAGACACGGCCCAGACUCCUACGGGAGGCAGCAGUGGGGAAUUUUGGACAAUGGGCGAAAGCCUGAUCCAGCAAUGCCGCGUGUGUGAUGAAGGCCUUCGGGUUGUAAAGCACUUUUGGCGGGAACGAAAAGGACUGUGCCAAUACCACGGUUCGAUGACGGUACCCGCAGAAUAAGCACCGGCUAACUACGUG